rnacentral:lncRNA from 1 species
AUGAGUGCCCACAGUGAUAAAAUGUUCAUUGAGGGCAUUACUAAUGGCGGAUUUCCAACUGCCAAGGAAGAGGAUAUCUCAGAAACUGGUUUAAAGACAAUGUUUUAUGCUCGGCAAGGUCAAAAGAAAAACCGUUUUUACAAAUAUGUAUGGGAAAACUGUCAACUCACAAACCCAGCUAAGAAAAAGAAUGUGCAUUUACAGAAGUCAGAGAAGAACAACAGAUUUUAAGGUGAGUAUUUAUAUCUUAUGAGGCAAUAAUUCUCCUGGCAACCUCACUUAAAUCCCUUUCCUCUCUUUGCUCAGCUUUCCCUUUCUCUCCUCUCCAGUUAGAAUUUGAAUCAUAGCAGAGAAUUGUUCUAGGACUCCACCUUCUACAGGUAUUGGGUAAAAAUACAUGCAGAUGAUUAGCACAAAUGGACCAGUAAAUGAAUAGUCCACACUGAUAGAGACACAUACACA